GAUCAUUUAAUCCUUCACGUUUAAAUCAGUGGGGUGUGAAAUAAUCCUUAAAUUUAACACAAUAAAAGUUAUUAACUAUUGAAAGUUUCUCUUUCCUUCUCCACAGUAAAUUAUUUCAGUGGUAAAUUAUUUUAAUUGUACUCUUAAUCAGAUCUCUCUCCAACACAAAUGCAACUAAGUUUCCUCCUUGGAUCGCCCCUGUUGUAGAAUGCUUUAUGAAAAGAGUUAGUCUGCGGAUGAGCUUGUAUGCUGCCAUCUUGUGGCCUCACAAGUUAGGGGUAUUCAGUAACCCUCCUUAUAAUUACAGUUGAUAAGAAAAUACCUGGUUUUAAUUGUGUGUUUUAAAAUUUGAUGUGAUAAUUAAAAACAACAACCCCCGACUUCAUACUAGAGACAUUAGAGGAAGUUGCUGUUGAAUGGUCCAAGGUUAAAUCUAGCCCAGGCUAUGGGGAAAUAUAGUUUCGAAGCUUGUGUAUUUGCAAUUUUAUUAUGAAGUGAUAAGGUCCUGUUUGCCUGGUGCCUGCAGCUGAAAAAUAAAUUCUGCAGCAAUUCGGGAAUAUUAAUUAGCAUCUACUCUAUGAGGGUAUAUGGCACGUGCUAGAUCAUUCUGUGUUUUUGUUUUUAGUGCUCAUUCAUAGCUGCACUUCUAGUUUUUAAUGCUGCUUUUUGUUUUACAUUGUAUUUUAAUUGCCGUGUUUGUUUUGCGAGCUUCCCACAGAACUUACAUUAUGAGUUGGUCAUAUAAAUUCAGUAAAUAAAAUAAAUAAGGGAGUCGGCAAAUCAUAUAGCGCUUCGAGUGGACAGAGAACUUUACAGCCCUUUCCUAACUCAGCUCUGGCAGUAUUAGCACAAACAUUUGUGCUGAGUACAAAGCACAGUGGAGGUAUUGCCCCUUCCAUGCUGGACAAGAUGUUGGAAUAAGGUCUACCCAUCUAUGUCCAAACUGUGCAAUCUGUUUCCAUCAAUACGAGGUAGGAUGAAGAUUAUGUUGAUUGGGCCUAAUGCAUAUUGGCACGGUUCCAGUUGCACGCUAUGCCCAGGUGUGCUGCAGAAUAAGUGGAGUGAGAUAGGCAUAAUUUUCUAAGUUUGAAUUACAGUAGAGCCAAAGGGAGCCCAGCUGGUUUUGCUGCUAAAAGUUGGCCGAAAUUCAAGGAAUCUGGAUCCUCGUCUUCUGGAUUUCAUUAAGGGGCUCCCUUGCCUUAAAAAAUGAAGAACAGAUCAUUCUACUUCCCUGCCUCAUUAGAAGCUGCACUGUUGAGCAUUUGUGUGAAUACAUAGACAUAUAUGAGGUAGAUCCCUUACGCCCAUCUUACAAAUGGAAAGAUGGACUGAGACACAGGGUUUAUUGAUAUUGGGCAUCCGUAACUGAACCAGCACUCGAACCAAGGGCAAGUUCCACUUUUUGAAACAAGGUGCCAGCCAGAAUGCAGCCAUCCCUUGAAACCCACAUGUGGCUUUUGCCUCCUAGGUGGGUCAUAAGGAAAGGGUUAAAAUGAGUGUGAUGUGAUUGGCCAGUGGAAACUGAUAGGAGGAGUUAGGGUUAGAGGGGGAGUUGUGUAAAAGUCAGUUGAGAGUUGGAGAAGAAAGAGGGAGGAAUAGUCUGUGGGUUGGUCGAGUUGUGUUGUGAGAGGAAUUGUUAGGUGGAGUCAGAUAGAUAGUUAGUUGGGAUAAUCAGUUUGAAGUUGUUAGGAACGAAUAAGACAGUUAAGGAACAAAGAUUAAGAAACUGCCAAGAAAAAUUAACUGAAACCAUAAGCUUGUUCAUGCCUAUAAAAUAAAUUUGAUUAUUUGUUAAUGUUACCAACUGACUGGACUCCAUGUGUACCCAUGAGAAACGGGUUGGUGGCAGCGAAGAACGCAAUUACAGUGGUGGCACAGGGUCAUUAGAUUGUCAAACGUCCAAGGGCCAAGAUUUUGCAAUGUAGUUCUCCAGCCAAGAAAAAAAGAAGAGUGGCAUAUGCUGAGGUAUAGUGUGCAUAAAAAUGUGUAUAUUCAUGAAAAACAACAUACAAAAAUGUGUUAGGAGAAAAUGCUUUUCAGAAAUAUGUGUAUUAAGCAUACAAAAGUGUGCACAUUAGGGGUAAUUUGCCAUAAAAUGCUGGUGAAUUUUGAUGAGGGCUAAUCAUCAUCACCACAAACCGAUGUGGUAACAUGGAGAACUGAAUUUAAGAGUGAAACACUGAGAAACUGAAACGAACCAAAGUUGACAUAUUAGCUGAUCACUGCUGAAUAUGCCCUCUGUGUUUGUCAAACAUUUAACACAUCUAUGGUGAUUCCGUUAAAUAUGUAGAAGGUGAAAGAUCCCAGAUAAAUGGGACUAAAUGUAACAAAAUCUGGGUUUUGUAACUGAUGCUGCUUCUAAGAUGUCGAGUGGAUUUUGGCCAGGUUUCUGAUUUUCUGUAUUUUGGCAAGAAAGAAAGUAAUAUUGUUUCCAAGAACAGAUGGAGACAUUUCACUACAUCAAGUUCCCCAAAGGCUAUUACCGAAACAUAAAAUGCACAUAAGGGCCAAAUGUUGGUGUUUACUAUCAUGGGUUUUUUUUUCCCCCUUAAGAGGAAGGGAAAGAAAUCUUCAAUUUUUAAAAAACAAACAAAACUGAGAUCAUUCCCACAAUGAUGCCACUUAAUACAAAUGUGCUCUACUUCUCUUCUUGCAGAUAUUAUGUUCCAAUCUCACAUGCAGCACGUAAUAAUUCUUGUUUCAUCCAGCUCCAAUUGAUAUUAUAUUAUAUCAAGAGCGUCUGAGAUUAAAGGAACAGUGGCGAGGAUUUGCAGGAGCCCUUCACUUCAAUGAACUUAACUGUGUACCUGGAAGCUUUUUCUUGCUUUCUCUGCUGAACCAGUUUAUACAGGCAAUGAUUGAUGUGAUCACAUUAGGGAAUGUGGAGGGCUGCUGGUGGGUUCACGUUCUGCCCAGGUUCGCUGGAUGGUGCUGAUGUGUAUAUUUGUGAAUCUGCUGUGGGAUAAUACACAUGGCUGAAUACUACACAACUGUGUUCGUUCGAAAAAGGGCCAAAUAAUGAAUUCCGGAUAUAUCACCUCUAAGCAGGUGGCGCUGUGGUCUAAAUCACUAAGCCUCUAGGGCUUGCCGAUUAGAAGGUUGGCAGUUCGAAUCCCCAUGACAGGGUGAGCUCCCGUUGCUCUGUCCCAGCUCCUGCCAACCUAGCAGUUUAAAAGCAUUCCAGUGCAAGUAGAUAAAUAGGUACUGCUGCUGCGGGAAGGUUCUGUGCACUCUGGUUUCCAUCCCGGUGUUCCGUUGCGCCAGAAGCUGUUUAGUCAUGCUGGCCACAUGAUCCGGAAAGCUGUCUGUGGACAAACACCAGCUCCCUCAGCCUGAAGCGAGAUGAGCGCUGCAACCCCAUAAUCGCCUUUGACUAGACUUAACCGCCCAGGGGUCCUUUAUCUUUACCUCUAAAAUGGCACCUCCAUGCCAUCCUGGUUGUGUGUCUUCUGAUGAGUCACUUCACCUUAAACGUGAUCAUGUGGACAUUAUCUGGUAUAUGAACUAGACUAUUGUUUACACUUACUUGCAAUACCAAUACAGCAAUUGCUGCUGCUCAAGUCCCCAGCUGUCUAAUUUUAUGAAUGAUGCGGUAGCUUCCUGUUUGCUCUAGAAAUCCACAAAACGUCCAAGCUGAAUUGAUGGCUGUUUGGGGGCCGAGGAACUCAAACGUAAAUAAAUAUAUAAGUAGAAUUAGAAAUGUCAGCACACGGAGAGGUGUGAGGAAGGAGCCUGACACCCAUGACUGACGGCAUUGCCAUCAGUUAAUGCACCGCCAUUAACACAACAUUGUCCCUCUGCUGCUGUUCAUCAUCUCCAGUGGCAACAGUAACUUAGAGAGAACGCCGGCCAUCAAAGUACAUUUGGGAAAAUUGGCUCAACAGGCAUGCUGUUUACAAGUGUCAGAGCUUUGAUGUGACCAUCUGCCUGUCUUUCUGUUCACCAUUACCAUCUUAUAGCCCUGACUAACAUCUGCAUCUAUUUACAUGCACUUCAGAUUUGCCCAUAAGAAAUGUGCACAGCAGAGCAUGAUAUCUGCGGGAAUCAGACAGCCCCUCCAUUAAUGGAACAUGCAGUGGUACGCCAUAACUGUCAGCACAGUCAAUGGGUUGUGCCCGACAUUGGGGGCGGGCUGAUGUCACGCAUGCAGUAUGUGUGUGCAUUAUGUCACAUGUGUCGCAUGUGUGACAACUGUCUCAUCGGGAGAGGCUGACCAGGCCUACUUGCAAUGCAGUAUUUGCCUGCCAGGCUGCACUGGUCUGCAUGGCCUGUCCCACCACUUCACGGCCCAAGGCAACAUCCCAACUUCUCAGCAGGCUGCACAUACAGAAACUCCCUGGGCUGCAUGGCAUCUCCAACUUACUGCCAGGCCUCCUUGGCCCCCUCAAGAUUGGAGGGUCUGAGCCCUAUAUCUGCAGUCAGGGGCGGGGGGCUGUAGAGGCCUCAGCCCCAUGGAAAUGGUGCCCCCGACUGUCAGAACUGCUGGACCUGUAUGUAGAUGCCCUGUGUGGUGAAUCGCUGAACUGCAGCCUUCAGAGUAAAGAAUCUUACAGACUGACUCCUCCUACCCAGGCUGGCCAUUGGCUCCUUCUGUGCAGGAUGAAGACAUCCCAGAUGAGGCUUUGUUGGCAAACAAGAGCUCCCUAAUUUCUGGUGUGUUUAUGCAUCCUUCAGUCCUGCCUCCUGUUUUGUCUUUGUAUCUCUGACUGAUCCCACAGCCCUGGCCUCUCCCAAAUCUCCUGCUUCCCAGCUCGCUUUAAACAGAUGCCCAUGAUCCAGCCUUCAUGACAGCCCACUGUAUUUUUUGCAAAAUAUGCAUAAUUUUUCAAUUUGCAUGAAGCACAUUUCCUUCAGAAUAGAUGGUUCUGUCCAUUAAUCCAAGUCAUCCCAUAUGCCAAGCAAAAUCUGUAUAUGACCCUUUAGUUUAAAAUGUUGCCAAUGUUGUUGGAUAACUGCCUUUUCAGUGGAGAUUAUUUGAAAGGCUAUAGUUAGCAAAAGACUGAGCAACGAAAACAAUGGAUUUUCUAUCACCUACAUGCAAGCCAGCAUUUGACUAUCACGGAGAUGGAUACUUUUCUAUUAAAGAGUUGAAUCUUAAUGAAGCUGCAAGAAAACCACUUUGAGAGAGAAAUACAGCAAAGUUUCUCACUGUGUUCUUUGAGUACGUGAGAGGGUGAGCUCAAGUGUUGAAGACUGGGACCUGUGUUCGUUUUAAUACACUGAUGUUUUAUAUACUUGGAUGUCACCUAAUUUAUAUUGCCUUGUUACAUGAAGCAUCAGUUCCAGGCAGUGCUAUUUUUCUAGAAAAAGAGGUGCUGGAACUCACAACAAACACCUCCCUUGUUCUCUUAUAAUAGCAAUGGCACCCACCUGAAAGGAGCCAGAAGGCUGAAAAAAAAACUCUGGUUCCAGGUACAUUUUUGAAGAAAAAUGUAUGUGUCUUCCAUGACAUGAGUUUUGACCGCAUAUCAAAUAUAAAACAUUGUCAUUAUAGUUAUUUAACAAUAAUACUUUUAUUUAUGAAUUGUUUCCAGUGAAGCUUCUUGAAGCAAUAGGUGUAAAUAUAGCACCACAUCAGCAUAAGUUAAGUAUACUGUAUUAGAAAGUGUUGGACAGAAGUCACCAACCCGCAGGGCACUGGCCAUAUCAAAUCCUUCCCUCCUUUGUGAUUGUAG
rnacentral:lncRNA from 1 species